AAACAAAAAUAGUAUACUUACGCAUCAUAGUAAAACCAAUACAAUUCAUCGCUUCGCUCAGAAUCUAAAAUAAUUUUAGGUUAGUUUUCUGUUCGGUUUUCGCGGACAACUGAGAGAUAGGAAUUUAGUUUUUUACGCACGAUGCACCCUAUAUCCUACAUUGUCUGAAAGAUUUUUAAAAAUAUAAUUAAGUUGUAAAAUGUUUUCAUACAAACAAAUAUUUUGCGACACACACGCUCCAAAUAUAGGGUGAAGUAGGAUAUUUUCGUGGCAUAGGCGAUUUCGUGAUAUCUAUUAUUUAUUGAACGAAAACUACUAUAAACCAACGAUUUUUUAGAACAAUAAAUAAUAUGCGCCUCGUAUUAAACAUACAAAAGUAUGCAAA